GGGCGGAGGGGAGCGGUUAGGCUUUGUGUCGCAGGCCAGGUGGGCUCCUUGGGCCCCGGGGGCGCAGGGGACGGGGUUCUAGGGGUCAAUGCCGGGGCCCUUUGCCGCCAGCUGCCCCCUCCCCCUUCCCUGCGGGCUUUUGCACACGACGCGCGCGCUUCACACGGGGUAGCGGGGACCGGGUAAAGCCAGCGGGAGCGGGGCGCCACGGCUGACGUAGUGGGGGCAGCAGCGGUAGCAACAGCGGGACGACCCCUCGGCAGUCUCGGCACGGCCAGGCGGGAGCGAACUCGCGGCAGAGCGGGCGGGCGAGGGGCUUACGCGCCGGGGCGGCGGGAAAGGCGCGCAGUGCCCUCCCGGCAGGUGAGUGCGCGCCGCGGAGCGUCCCGCGCGCAACUUCCAGGGAGUACACGGCAGGGCGCGCGAGACCGCAUGGAGGCCACCGAGAGGAAGCAUCUGUUAGACGCCAGGCUUGGAGCCGGGUCUUACAGAUCUCUGUGGCAGGAUGGGGCUGGCAGGAUUCCUCUGUCUUCACCUGGCCUGGACUUGCAGACCGUUGAGCUGGCUACCAAGAGCAACCAUUACUGUCAUGCCCAGACGGGUCCUGGCAGUGACUGCGACCUCAAGAAGAAGAGGGCGUGGCGCCAGCUCUGUGUGGCCUGUGCCUUCUGCCUGUUGUUCAUGAUUGGGGAAGUCGUUGGUGGGUACCUGGCACAUAGUUUGGCGAUCAUGACAGACGCAGCCCACCUGCUCACUGACUUCGCCAGCAUGCUCAUCAGCCUCUUCUCCCUGUGGAUGUCUUCCCGGCCAGCCACCAAGACCAUGAACUUCGGCUGGCAUCGAGCUGAGAUCCUGGGCGCCCUGAUCUCUGUGCUGUCCAUCUGGGUCGUGACCGGGGUACUGGUGUACCUGGCGGUGGAACGGCUGAUCUCUGGGGACUAUGAGCUCGAGAAGGGGACCAUGCUGAUCACGUCGGGCUGUGCUGUGGUCGUGAACAUCAUAAUGGGAUUGAUUCUUCACCAGUCUGGCCACGGACACAGCCAUGGCCAUGAGCACAGCCACGACACCAGCCAGCAGCAGGAGAACCCCAGUGUCCGAGCUGCCUUUAUCCAUGUGGUUGGAGACUUUCUGCAGAGCUUGGGCGUUUUAGUGGCAGCCUUUAUUUUAUACUUCAAGCCAGAGUACAAGUUUAUAGACCCCAUUUGCACCUUCCUCUUCUCCAUCCUCGUCCUGGGGACAACCUUGACCAUCCUGAGAGAUGUGAUCCUGGUGCUGAUGGAAGUGGGGUCGGGGUGGGGCAGACUGAGGAUCAGAAAAAGACAGUUGGUGUUGGACAAGACUGCGGAAUCCGCUGCAGCUCAGGCCUUCCUUUCUGAGGACCCCACCUCCAGAGGACGUGGCAGGGCUUUGAUUGGUGGCAGAUGGUCUGCCCUGAGGGACCCCCAGGGGCAUGGACUUCAUGGCUGUGCGGGAUCUGCUGCUGUCGGUGGAGGGGGUGGAAGCCCUGCACAGCCUGCAUAUCUGGGCGCUGACUGUGGCCCAGCCUAUCCUGUCUGUCCAUGUCGCCAUCGCUGGGAAUGCAGACGCCCAGGCUGUGCUGAAGGCAGCCAGGACCUGCCUGCAGGGUAGGUUCCACUUCCACACCGUGACCAUCCAGAUAGAGGACUAUUCUGAGGACAUGAAGGACUGUCAGUCAUGCCAGGGUCCCUCGGACUGACUGCCUGGCCAGGCACCAACUGGGGCAUGGACAGGCCUGCCGACGGCUGGACUGAGUGUCCCCCAGGCCCAGCCAGGACUCUGCCUACCCCAGCCUGGAGCACCCCUUCCUGCCUUGCAGCCCGAAGAAUUCCUCCUACUCGAUCUUAAUGUAUAAAGUUCAAAUAUCGCCUCCUCUGGGAAGCUUUCCUUGGUCUCUCCAGAGAUGGCUCCCUCCUCUCUGCUCCCACAGCCCUUCUGUGCACUGCAGUAGUAACGAGCCGGGCUAACCUUUACUGAGCAUGUCCUUUGUUCUAGGUGCUUUACAUGCAUUGACUCACUUCAUUCUCACAGCAACCCCAUGAGAUGGGAGGUAUGUGCUGUUAAUAUUCCAUUUUACAGAUGAGGAAACUGAGGCCUAAAGUGGUCACACAGCUCUGAAGUAGAGGAGCCGGGCAGGCAGCUUGCCCACCCUCUCUCUGUUUAACAAUGUGUGUCACACCAGUGACUUGUCUGUCUCUCUAAUAAGACUAAGCUACUUGAGGGCUGGGGCUGUGCCUCCCUCAUCCAGUAUCCCCAGGGCCUAGCAGGGCACCUGGCAGAGUAUGGGCACUCAGUGGGGGCUAGUGAAUGAAUGCUCAGUGUGCAACAGAGGAGAGACCCAGGACCAAUGGACUAAAUGUUUGAAAGGUCAGUUUUGGCACAAAUUCUAGUAAUGGAGCUGGCUGAGAAUAGCCAGUGGGUGGCCUUGGGAGGUGGUGAGUUCCCCAUCAGAGGCUAGACGAGCACCUCCGUGUGUGUGUGUGUGUGUGUGUGUGUGUGUGUUGUAGAAGGGAUGGAUCUCGUCGUGAUUGCUGAUGAUCUGUGACCCUGUAAAGUGCUUGGCAUGGACUUGGGGCCUCAGUGUCCAAGGCUGCUGUCAACGUGACUCCACCCAUGGCCACAGGCAGGGCUGCAUUGCGACUUCCAGUGCCCUGCAUACUUUGGCCUUUGCAGUCCCUCAGCCAUAAAAAUAUAAAAAUUAUAUUCGAUAACUGUGUUGGUAUAAAAAUGAACAUACUAAUAUUAUAUAUGAAAGCAUUUUCUUCUAUUUAGAAGUUCACUUUUUUCUUCUGAUUUUCAAAGAAAUGAGAACAUUUUCAUGGGCCCCUGAAGUAUCAUGGGCCCUAGGCACUGCGCCUCGUGUGCCCAGUGGCGACAGACCAGGGGACCUUAAAACAUGCAUUAAAUUUAUGUAAAAAACCCCCCCAAAAGCAGGGGAGAGCAUAUACACCCGUUUAUAUACACCCAGAGUACUUCAGAAAAGACACAAGAGAAACUAGAAAGGGUAUUUGGCUC